rnacentral:rRNA from 1 species
UUAUACCAAGAAGAGUUUGAUCCUGGCUCAGGAUGAACGCUAGCGGCAGGCUUAACACAUGCAAGUCGAGGGGCAUCGCGGUUCCGGCAACGGGACCGGCGGCGACCGGCAUACGGG